UGGUUUGAUUAUGGCUCAGGAUGAACGCUGGCGGCAUGCCUAAUACAUGCAAGUCGAACGGAGUGAAGCCUUCGGGUUUCAUUCAGUGGCGAACGGGUGAGUAAUACGCAGGGAACCUGGCCAUGGCAGGGGGAUACACUCUGGAAACGGAGCAUAAGACCCCAUAGGCAGUAAGGCGGCAUCGCCUUACUGUUAAAGAAAGCUGAAAGGCUUUGGCGAUGGAUGGACCUGCGGUGCAUUAGCUUGUUGGUGAGGCAACGGCUUACCAAGGCGAUGAUGCAUAGCCGGCCUGAGAGGGCGGACGGCCACACUGGGACUGAGACACGGCCCAGACUCCUGCGGGAGGCAGCAGUAGGGAAUUUUCGUCAAUGGGCGCAAGCCUGAACGAGCAAUGCCGCGUGAGUGAGGAAGGUCUUCGGACUGUAAAGCUCUGUUGCCGGGGAAAAAGGGGAAAUGCAGGAAAUGGCAUUUCAUGGAUGGUACCCGGCCAGAAAGCCACGGCUAACUACGUGCCAGCAGCCGCGGUAAUACGUAGGUGGCGAGCGUUAUCCGGAAUGAUUGGGCGUAAAGGGUGCGCAGGCGGUCUGUUAAGUCUGAAGGCAAAGGGAUGAGCUCAACUCAUUUAUGAUUCAGAAACUGGCAGACUUGAGGACAGGAGAGGGCGGUGGAACUCCAUGUGUAGCGGUAAAAUGCGCAGAGAUAUGGAAGAACACCAGUGGCGAAGGCGGCCGCCUGGCCUGUGACUGACGCUGAGGCACGAAAGCGUGGGGAGCAAAUAGGAUUAGAUACCCUAGUAGUCCACGCCGUAAACGAUGAGGAGCAGGUGUUGGGAGUGAAAUCUCAGUGCCGAAGCCAACGCAGUGACUCCUCCGCCUGGGGAGUAUGCACGCAAGUGUGAAACUCAAAGGAAUUGACGGGGGCCCGCACAAGCGGUGGAGUAUGUGGUUUAAUUCGAAGCAACGCGAAGAACCUUACCAGGUUUUGACAUCGGAUGCGAAGGCGCAGAGAUGCGCUGGAGGCUAUCAUCCAGACAGGUGGUGCAUGGUUGUCGUCAGCUCGUGUCGUGAGAUGUUCAGUUAAGUCUGGCAACGAGCGCAACCCCCGUGGUAUGUUACUAACGCUUUAGGGCGAGGACUCAUAUCAGACUGCCGGUGACAAACCGGAGGAAGGCGGGGAUGACGUCAAAUCAUCAUGCCCCUUAUGACCUGGGCUACACACGUACUACAAUGGCGUCUACAGAGGGAAGCGACCCUGAGAAGGGAAGCGAAACCGGAAAAGGGCGUCCCAGUUCGGAUUGAAGUCUGCAACCCGACUUCAUGAAGAUGGAAUCGCUAGUAAUCGCGGAUCAGCAUGCCGCGGUGAAUACGUUCCCGGGCCUUGUACACACCGCCCGUCAAACCAUGGAAGCCGGCAACGCCCGAAGCCGGUGGCAUAACCUUUUAGGAGUGAGCCGUCGAAGGCGGGGCCGAUGACUGGGGUUAAGUCGUAACAAGGUAACC
rnacentral:rRNA from 1 species